rnacentral:rRNA from 1 species
GGCGGCGUGCCUAACACAUGCAAGUCGUACGAGAAGUCGGCUUCGGCUGAUGAGUAAAGUGGCGACGGGUGAGUAACGCGUGGAUAAUCUGCCUUUAGUUGGGAAUAACGUACCGAAAGGUGCGCUAAAUACCGGAUAAUACUGCAUAACUACUGUUGUGUAGUCAAAGAAGGCCUCUGUUUACAAGCUUUUGCUGAAAGAUGAGUCCGCGUACCAUUAGCUAGUUGGUAGGGUAAUGGCCUACCAAGGCUACGAUGGUUAGCUGGUCUGAGAGGAUGAUCAGCCACACUGGAACUGAGACACGGUCCAGACUCCUACGGGAGGCAGCAGUGAGGAAUAUUGCGCAAUGGGGGCAACCCUGACGCAGCAACGCCGCGUGAGUGAGGAAGGUUUUCGGACCGUAAAGCUCUGUCGAGCGGGAAGAAAUGUAUCGUGGCUAAUAUCCAUGAUAUUUGACGGUACCGCUAAAGGAAGCACCGGCUAACUCCGUG